CUCUAGAGUCUUUCAAUGGCUCCCCAACUGGCAGUUUAAAUUCGUCUCUAGAUGACCUUUCAAAUGCCAGCUCUGAAGAUUCUUUGCAACUGCAAGUAUCUAUUAGUGACACAGGAGUAUGUAAUGACCAUGGCAAGACAUAUGCUCUGUAUGCAAUCACUGUUCAGAGAAGAAAUCCAGAUGGUAGUGAUGAUGUGUGGAAGACCUAUCGUCGCUAUAGUGAUUUCCAUGACUUUCACAUGCGGAUAACUGAGCAGUUUGAACACCUUUCAAAUUUGCUCAAACUUCCUGGGAAAAAAACCUUUAAUAACAUGGAUAAAGACUUCUUGGGAAAGCGGAAAAAAGAUCUAAAUACAUAUUUACAA